rnacentral:rRNA from 1 species
CCUACGGGAGGCAGCAGUGAGGAAUAUUGGUCAAUGGGCUUACGCCUGAACCAGCCAAGUCGCGUGAGGGAAGACUGCCCUAUGGGUUGUAAACCUCUUUUGUCAGGGAGCAAUUGGCGCUACGUGUAGCGUUAUCGAGAGUACCUGAAGAAAAAGCAUCGGCUAACUCCGUGCCAGCAGCCGCGGUAAUACGGAGGAUGCGAGCGUUGUUCGGAAUGACUGGGCGUAAAGGGUGUGUAGGCGGUGUAGCAAGUUAGAAGUGAAAUACCUAGAGCUUAACUCAGGUGCUGCUUCUAAAACUGCUAUACUUGAGUGCAGUAGAGGAAAGUGGAAUUCCUAGUGUAGCGGUGGAAUGCGUAGAUAUUAGGAGGAACAUCAGUGGCGAAGGCGACUUUCUGGACUGUAACUGACGCUGAGGCACGAAAGUGUGGGGAGCAAACAGGAUUAGAUACCCUUGUAGUC